rnacentral:ncRNA from 1 species
GUAAAGUUUUAUUUUAGCUUAAAAAUUAAUUUUCAAUUGUUUAUAUAUAUAUAAUUUUCUUAUUUAAUAUUAUGUUUUGUAGUAUAAGGAUUUAAAUAAUAAAAGUAAUUUUGAUUUAGAUAGUUUGGAAAAUGUAAACUAAAAUUGUGCCAGCAGUUGCGGUUAAACAAUUUUACAUUAAUUAAUUUUUUCUUUUUUAAUUAGGUUAAGAUUUAAAAAUUAAAAAUUAUCUUUUUGAGGUGAAAUUGUUAAAGUUUAAUAGAAGGUUUAAUAGGAAUUUCUGAGGUUACAAAAUUUAUAAAGAUAAACUAGGAUUAGAUACCCUAUUAUUUUAAAUGUAAAUUAAUAAUAAAAAAAAAUAGUAACAGUUGUGAUCUCGAAAAUUAAAAAAUUUGGCGGUGUUUUAUUCUGUCCAGAGGAAUCUGUCUCGUAAAUGAUAAUCCACGAUAAGUUUUACUUUAUCUUUAAGUUUGUAUAUCGUUGUAUUAAGAAUAUUUUUUAAAAAUUGUUAAUGUUCUUUUUAUUAAAUAAUAAAGGUAAUUCAGAUCAAGGUGUAGUUUAUGAAAAAGAGAGGAUGGAUUACAUUAAUUUUAUUAGUGGUUUUCUUUUUUAAAAGAGGGAAUAAAUUGGAUUUGGAAGUAAUUAAAAAUAUUUUUUUUUAAUGACUUUAGCUCUAUAAUAUGCACAUAUUGCCCGUCACUUUCAUUAAAGUGGAAUAAGUCGUAACAAAGUAGACUUAUUGGAAAAUGAGUCUGGAAAUCC